rnacentral:misc_RNA from 1 species
GAUGAAGAACGUAGCGAAAUGCGAUAAGUAGUGUGAAUUGCAGAAUUCCGUGAAUCAUCGAAUCUUUGAACGCACAUUGCGCCUUCUGGUAUUCCGGAAGGCAUGCCUGUUCGAGAGUCAUUAACAACCGUUUCGAUCCCUUUCUUUCAGAAAUUACAAAGAGGAAAAGGGUUUGGUUAUGGUGGAGGAGGGAAAGGGAGCGUUUAGCCUGUAAAAAAAGAGGCUGUGUUCCGCCUCCCCCCCAAAAUUGUACAGGCGGUCGUGUGCGCCCACGCAUCGAGGUGUUGUAAAAGCUGCCACGGCACUUUUCACAUGUGCAGUGCGAGAUUGGCCAGCCGGUUUAAAAACCCCUCCAAACAAUCAAAGGUUGACCUCGGAUCAGGAAGGGAUACCCGCUGAACUUAAGCAUAUCAAUAAGCGGAGGA